GCCCAGGUGUUGGAAUUGGUAGACAAGCUGGUCUCAGAAGCCAGUGCUCGCAAGAGCGUGGAGGUUCGAACCCUCUCUUGGGCACCA
rnacentral:tRNA from 1 species